UGGUCAAUCAUCAAGAGCUCAAUUUUCGAAGCAAGCGUGAGUAUAAAUGCAGCACCUUUCCUGUCAAGCUUUCCUUUUCACUUCCCUCAAGUACCCAUCUCUCUCCAAUUCAUUUACUCCGCUCUCUCAUAUUUCUCUCUCUCUCUAGUUUUCUUGAUUGCUGACUGUCCAUUAAUAAUGUUUCGAACUGCGGACGAAAAAAAAUUCAAGAAAUAAGCGUUUUGUUCAGUGAUAAAGAAAGGGCUAUGCAAUUUCAAGACCGCGUAAAGAAGUACUAAAAGUAGCACUCAAUAGGAAAUGUGAUAAAGAAAGGGCUAUGCAAUUUCAAGACCGUGUAAAGAAGUAUUAAAAGUAGCACUCAAUCUGAAAUGGGUGUAAAUUGAUUCUUGAAGAAGACUGCAAGGAGGUUUUUCCUACUCUUUUGGGGAUAGCUUCUUACCCUUUGAAAGAAAAAUAUGAAUAUUGCUGGUAAGGAUACUAACAUGGAGCCAGAAAAGGGCAAUGAGAAUCCUAUAAACUACCAUGCAACUAAUAUGUCUUCAGAUUGGCCUUUAAAUGACAAUAAUCUUAUCGGCACAUCAAUAGGAGUUAUUCCCACAGGCAACUCAAAUGUGGAGUCCUUUGCUUGUUCCUCUGCAUUGAUGGCAGAUUCAUCUUGCCCUCAGAUUUGGAACCAACCCGUAAGUGGACAGAGUUUAGGCUAUUGUGAUGUGAAUGUUCAAAAUAUUGCUAGGACUUCAGAUAAUUUUGGUCCAACAAGUGGUGGUACAGGAUGGAUUCCUGAUGCAAUGUUAAGGGAGUGUGUGUAUUUGCCUACUGUUCCAGGGAUGGUUCCUCAGAGCAUGCCUCACUUUCCGGCUGAUUCGGGUUUUAUUGAAAGAGCAGUGAGGUUUCCGUGUUUCAGCGGAGGGAAUUUUGGUGACACCCUGAAUCCAUAUCGCGUUCCUGAAAAUUUGAAUUCUUAUUCUCAUAUUUUAGCAUCAACGCAAGGGCAACACGAUGUAUUUGCCAGUGGUGGAAGAAAUAUGAACACGACUGGAAGUUCCAAGGCGGUGUUUCUACCUUCGGAGUAUGGAAUUGAAGGGAGCCCGCUCAAGAAUAAGAAAACGAUAGAAAUUUUACCCAUCUCUCGCGAUGAAGAAAAACAAGGAGUUGGUAUGUUGGCUAACGAUUCCAAUGAGGUUGAAUUUAGCAGCAGAGGUGAUCAGGAAGAGUUGGAGGGUUCACCCGGGGAGUCUUCUGGUAAAGGACUUGGCUCUAAGAAGAGGAAGAGUACUGAACAGAAUAGGGAACUUAAUGAAAACAAUCGAGCCCUGGAACCCUCAGUCGAGACAGCAAAGGACGAUGCUGAAAUUCAACACAAGAGUGACUCUGGAAAACAUGGAAAGCAUGGAUCGCAAGGGUCAGAUUUGCCCAAGGAAGAAUACAUACGUGUUCGAGCACGCAGAGGCCAGGCAACAAAUAGCCAUAGUCUUGCUGAAAGACUGAGGAGGGAGAAGAUUAGUGAAAGGAUGAAGUUUCUUCAGGAUCUUGUGCCUGGUUGCAGCAAGGUUACGGGAAAAGCAGUUAUGCUGGAUGAAAUCAUCAAUUAUGUGCAAUCACUGCAACGACAGGUUGAGUUCCUCUCAAUGAAGCUUGCAACAUUAAAUCCGCGGCUGACCUUCAAUAUCGAAGGGUUCCUUACCAAAGAUCAGAUCAUUCAGUCGCACAUUGGUUCGUCAUCUUUACUUCCUUUUCCACCUGAUAUGAUCCUGCCUCAUCCUCUAUUACAUCAAACUCCACAUCAACCUCCACCUGGACUAAUUCAACCUGGUCUUUCGAACUUGGGAAACUCUUCAAAUGCACUUCGGAGAUCUAUCAACUCCCCAUUUACCGCUGCCUUUAAAGAAUCCACAUCCCGAGGACCAAACUUAUAGGAAGAUGAGCUUCAUAAUGUUGUUCAGAUGGGCAUAAACUCAGGUGCUCCUCUUAGUAGCCAAUAUUUAACUGAUUCUUUGCCUCGAGGCCACAUUAAAGCCGAACCUUGAUAGCUUUUUACUCUGGAGUACCUGAGCAUGUAAAUUUAUUCAUGAAAAAAUAAUGGUAAUCAUAUAGUCUUCCUACAAGAGCUUGUCCUGGUUAGACGCGUUUUAGCUUACCACCGUGAUGUUGAAGCGCGACUUACAGAUUCUUGAAUUUGUUCCGAAUAUGAUACCAGACGUACUUGACCUUAUCCAUGCUCGUAUGCAACAUCUGGACAUGUUCAAGUUAAUAGUUCUGAACAAACUAGUAAUGUAAAUUGAGACACAUUAAGAUAUGAUUGCGAGACUA